CUGACGGUGCAUGGUGCAGUGGGCACGAGGCUCUCCGGUAUAGUAGGGGCGGUAAUGACUCUCCGGUACAGUAGGGGCGGUAAUGACGUUCAGUUACAGUAGGGCGCAGAGCUGCGCCUGCGCAAUAUACGGUCCGCCUUUGUGAUUUCCAAGACAGGGAAAAAAACAGCUGGAUGUCUGUUAGCUCCUCUGUCAGCUCCUCGGCUAACCCACCUGGCUAACCUCAUCCUCCGCUCUCCUCAGGUAGGAUUACUACCGUAUACCUACUAGACUCAGACCGUAGCCUGGUGACUGGGACCUGGUUACUGUCGGUGAGACCCGAGCUGUUGGAAACUGGUGUUUGAGCUGCUAACAGGCUACUGGAGAGCUAGCCGUCUUGUUGUCACUCGGUUCAGCUGUAGAGUUUAUAUCUCUAGGCUGGCGGCGGGUCCCCCAAAGGGAGACCCCCCCCAAACCCGGGAGACCCCCCCCCCCCCAACGGGAGAGACAGUCACUAGUAGUGUUACUAGUAAGCCUGACUAGUAAUUUUCUAGUCGUAGAACUAUCUAUUUACUAAGCAGAAUCUAAAGCGACCUACAGUGAAUACAGAGACAGGUCAGUAAGGAGCAGGUAGGGGUUAGACAGUACAGAGACAGGUCGCUAAGGAGCAGGUAGGGGUUAGACAGUACAGAGACAGGUCAUUAAGGAGCAGGUAGGGGUUAGACAGUACAGAGACAGGUCAUUAAGGAGCAGGUAGGGGUUAGACAG
ensembl:lncRNA